rnacentral:rRNA from 1 species
UUCGGUAUCUGGACCGGCGCACGGGUGCGUAACGCGUAUGCAAUCUACCUUUUACUAUGGGAUAGCCCAGAGAAAUUUGGAUUAAUACCAUAUAGUAUAUUUGAAUGGCAUCGUUUGAAUAUUAAAGAUUUAUCGGUAAAAGAUGAGCAUGCGUCCCAUUAGUUAGUUGGUGUGGCAACGGCAUACCAAGACGAUGAUGGGUAGGGGUCCUGAGAGGGAGAUCCCCCACACUGGUACUGAGACACGGACCAGACUCCUACGGGAGGCAGCAGUGAGGAAUAUUGGUCAAUGGAGGCAACUCUGAACCAGCCAUGCCGCGUGCAGGAUGACGGUCCUAUGGAUUGUAAACUGCUUUUGUACGGGAAGAAAACAAACUACGAGUAGUUAAUUGACGGUACCGUAAGAAUAAGGAUCGGCUAACUCCGUGCCAGCAGCCGCGGUAAUACGGAGGAUCCAAGCGUUAUCCCGGAAUCAUUGGGUUUAAAGGGUCCGUAGGCGGCCUUAUAAGUCAGUGGUGAAAGUUUUUGGCUUAACCAAAAAAUUGCCAUUUGAUACUGUAGGGCUUGAAUAUCUGUGAAGUACCUAGAAUAUGUAGUGUAGCGGUGAAUGCUUANAUNUUACAUGGNAUACCGAUUGCGAAGGCAGGUUACUACNANAUGAUUGACNCUGAUGGACNAAAGCGUGGGUACCGAACAGGAUUAAAUNCCUGGUAGUCCCNCCGUAACGACGAANCNUACCUGUUUGGUUNCGGACUGAGNGNCUAACNAAAGUGAAANUUUCCCCCGACCUGGGGAGUACGGUCGCAAGACUGAAACUCAAAGGAAUUGACGGGGGCCCGCACAAGCGGUGGAGCAUGUGGUUUAAUUCGAUGAUACGCGAGGAACCUUACCAGGGCUUAAAUGUAGAUUGACAGAUUUGGAAACAGAUUUUUCUUCGGACAAUUUACAAGGUGCUGCAUGGUUGUCGUCAGCUCGUGCCGUGAGGUGUCAGGUUAAGUCCUAUAACGAGCGCAACCCCUGUUGUUAGUUGCCAGCACGUAAUGGUGGGANCUCUAGCAAGACUGCCAGUGUAAACUGUGAGGAAGGUGGGGAUGACGUCAAUCAUCNCGGCCUUACGUCCUGGGCC